GCGCCCGUGGCGCAAUUGGAUAGCGCGCCAGUCUACGGAACUGGAAGUUACAGGUUCGAAUCCUGUCGGGCGUA
rnacentral:tRNA from 1 species